CCUACGGGAGGCAGCAGUGAGGAAUAUUGGUCAAUGGACGAGAGUCUGAACCAGCCAAGUAGCGUGAAGGAUGACUGUCCUAUGGGUUGUAAACUUCUUUUAUAUGGGAAUAAAACGUUCCACGUGUGGGAUUUUGUAUGUACCAUAUGAAUAAGGAUCGGCUAACUCCGUGCCAGCAGCCGCGGUAAUACGGAGGAUCCGAGCGUUAUCCGGAUUUAUUGGGUUUAACGGGAGCGUAGGUGGAUUGUUAAGUCAGUUGUGAAAGUUUGCGGCUCAACCGUAAAAUUGCAGUUGAAACUGGCAGUCUUGAGUACAGUAGCGGUGGGCGGAAUUCGUGGUGUAGCGGUGAAAUGCUUAGAUAUCACGAAGAACUCCGAUUGCGAAGGCAGUUCACUGGACUGCAACUGACACUGAGGCUCGAAAGUGUGGGUAUCAAACAGGAUUAGAUACCCGUGUAGUC
rnacentral:rRNA from 1 species